rnacentral:lncRNA from 1 species
AUACUUUUUCCCUCCAAUCACUUUGUACUCUUUCAAAUUAGCUUACUGAAGCAAUGAAUGUAAUAAGCCUUGAACAAAAACAAAGUAGUUCUACUAUUAUUUUUAUUGCACACAAUUACAAGCAGGUAAGAGUUGAGCAAUUAAUAGUUCUUCAUUCUCAGUAGUAGUAGUAGUAGUGCCAAUUUAAUGCUGUUUAAGCUUAUUAUCUAAUUGCAUGCUUGUGCUAGCUGCAGAAAUGGCAUGACAUUAAGUCAGACUUGUGCCGCGUUCCCCCAGCAAUGAAAUAUUCAAUUAUUUGUUCUGACUCAUGUAAUUCCCUGUAUUCCAAGCUUGUUAAUGUCAUUACAGAGCUGAAAUAAAGUGAUUACUCUAAAUGAGUAUUUAUCCAAUAGGCAAUGUAAUUCCUGCCCCCUCCAGCUGACAAUGGACGAUUAUGAAUUUUCUUCUCUACUCUAUUUCCUCGUCAGUUCUUAACCUGCCUCCUCCUUUUCCCCCCUGCCUCACUUUCUCUGUCAGAAAGGCACCAUCGCAUUGUGGUGUUCUCUGAAAUACUGUCAGAUGGUGUAAAAAAAAUAAAAAAAUCUAAAAAAAGAGAGUGAAAGAGAGAGAGAAGGGCGAGCUCCCCCAGCAGAGUUACAGCUAAUGACCACUGCUUCCAUUCCCAAGCAGUGAUGACAGCUUGAACUAAAUGAUAAUGGCAUGCCUGCUGUUGGACUUGCCCACUUAUGUUAUUUCUCUUGACAUGGUUCUGGGGAAGGCCUAAUUUUUUUGACAUUUGACCAUGCAAAUUUGAGUCCUGAUACAUUAUUCUGCAUUUACAUCUUCCCAGUGUUGCUGUUUAAAAUGUGCUACAAGCUCCAGGAGCUCAGCUAAUAAAGGCCACCGAAUGAAAGAAAGUUAAAUAUGAAUGUAAGAGGAGACCUAAAUGAAGGGCUGGCUUGUACAACUCAAAGAUGACCUUCUCAAGAUGAGCAAGUGGAAAAUCCUUUUUAAAGCAAAUGAGGCUGUUCCUGUUAACUCCUUUUGCUGUCACUUCUGCUUACUGUUCCUGAUACUGGGAAGCAGGAUACAGGGAAGAAGUGAGGAUGGAUUAGAAGAAGGAAAAGACUUUGGAACUGAAACUUUAAAAAAGAAUGCUAAAAUGACUUCUAAAUGUAAAGGUUGAAAAAUGUUAUUUUAAUAAAACCAUGGGAUUAAUGCA